GGGGCCAUAGCUCAGUUGGGAGAGCGCUUGAAUGGCAUUCAAGAGGUCGUCGGUUCGAUUCCGAUUGGCUCCACCA
rnacentral:tRNA from 380 species